UUGCCCCCUCGCUCUGCCCCUUGCCCGCCUGCCAGGGAAGAGCUGGGAGCAGAUCCCCAAAGCAGGGCCGUGCAGGCUGCGGUUAGCAGGGCAUGUGCUCAGACCCAGGGGCUCUGAUCUCCUCUGGGAGUGAGUUCUGGAGUCCAGCCCAAUGUCGUCGUCCCAGUGCCAUGUGGCUGCAGCAGGAGUUCACAGGGAGACUCGUCUCAGGUGCUGGAUAGCUUGUGUUUGGGACAAAGAAAACAGAGACCACAUGGCAAGAGGCUAUAAAAGGCGGCUGCAUCUCCUCCAUCUUGUCUUCAAUCCUGCUUCAUACCUCUGGAGGAACCUUGCUACAAACGGAAGCUCUGAACAAAGGACUGAAUGACCCAUCCCAGCUGGGGAUGUUCCAGAGACUUGAUUUGAACCUGCAGUUUAUUCUAUCACUGCUACAAGCCUGAACCAAGAACUUGGCCAUUACUGUAUGUAAUUGAUUCCAUUUCACCAAUUCUAGCUCUCAUCUAUAUUUCUUUCUUUUAUGAAUAAACCUUUAGAUUUUAGAUUUUAAA